AGCAAAGUAAAUGACACGCGUUAAGUGCAUACAGAUGGGAAGUUGCUGUAUGACGAAGCGAAAGCGCGGUGUGUUAUUGCGUCCGUUGCG
rnacentral:ncRNA from 2 species